GCGGAUGUGGCGGAAUUGGUAGACGCGCACGGUUCAGGUCCGUGUGCCUUUCGGGGCGUGGAGGUUCAAGUCCUCUCAUCCGCA
rnacentral:tRNA from 1 species